CGCGUAGGUAACCUGCCUUGUANCGGGGGAUAACUAUUGGAAACGAUAGCUAAUACCGCAUAACAAUGGAUGACACAUGUCAUUUAUUUUGAAAAGGGGGCAAUUGCUCCACUACAAGAUGGACCUGCGUUGUAUUAGCUAGUAGGUGAGGUAACGGCUCACCUAGGCGACGAUACAUAGCCGACCUGAGAGGGUGAUCGGCCACACUGGGACUGAGACACGGCCCAGACUCCUACGGGAGGCAGCAUG
rnacentral:rRNA from 1 species